rnacentral:rRNA from 1 species
AACGAACGCUGGCGGCAUGCCUAACACAUGCAAGUCGAACGAGACCUUCGGGUCUAGUGGCGCACGGGUGCGUAACGCGUGGGAACCUGCCCUUAGGCUCGGAAUAACUCCCCGAAAGGGGUGCUAAUACCGGAUAAUGUCUUCGGACCAAAGAUUUAUCGCCUUUGGAUGGGCCCGCGUUGGUUUAGCUAGGUGGUAGGGUAAAAGCCUACCAAGGCGACGAUCCAUAGCUGGUCUGAGAGGAUGAUCAGCCACACUGGGACUGAGACACGGCCCAGACUCCUACGGGAGGCAGCAGUGGGGAAUAUUGGACAAUGGGCGAAAGCCUGAUCCAGCAAUGCCGCGUGAGUGAUGAAGGCCUUAGGGUUGUAAAGCUCUUUUACCCGGGAUGAUAAUGACAGUACCGGGAGAAUAAGCUCCGGCUAACUCCGUG